CACCUCAGGGCUCUGCUCCCACCUCAGGGCUCUGCUCCCACCUCAGGGCUCUGCUCCCACCUCAGGGAUGUCCUUCCAGCCCUACCACAGCCUGGGCACACAGACACUCCCCCUUGCUCAGAGGCUUCUCCCCAAGCACAUCACUCCCCUUGCCAGGGCCAGGUUCUGGGAGAAGCACCAACCCUGCCCCCCAGCACUCCCCAUCCUCUCAGCUUCCACCCUCAAUGGCCUAAGCCUCACAUCCCCCAUGGGUGCAGUUUUAUGGCAGAGCUGAGCUUCUGUCAGCUGCCCUGAGCCCCACAGCUCACCCAGGGCUGUCCCUAUACCCCAAACACACAGGCACCAGUAUGGGGUGACAGCCCCCAAAACCCCACUGCCAGUGCAGGGCACGCUGUGCCUGGAGGGGACUCAGCUCCAGAGGGUCCCACAGGGACACAGCAGCACUGCCAGCUGCCUCCUGCCUCAUCAAACACAGCACACCCAGGGGAAUGUGCUGGGACAAGGAUGGAAAUAACCACCCCUCAGGAGAGCUCCAAAUGCUGCUUCACCCUUCAGCAUCGAUUUGGAAAACUGCAUGCCAGGGGAGAGAAAGAACCCAAAGUGCAGCCCCCAUCACACUCCUCAUUUUGGGGCAAAGUACCAAAAUCUUCUCAUCAGAUGUUGCACAGAAGUCAAACCCUCUGUUAUCAGAGGUUCAAUAAACUCACCAAGCACAGCAUUUUCUGCUCAUGGCAAAGCCCCAUGGCUGGGAGUCACAAAAGAAAUAACCCAGCAAGCACAGGACAAGGAAUUUUGGUUGGGCACUGGUAUUUCAGCUCUGCUUACCCAGAUGAAAAAUCACCAAGUUGCCAAGAGCUGCUGUAACUCUGCUUUGGAGGGGUUUUAUUGGUUUCUUAUGAUGAUAGUUAAGCUCAGGACAGAAUGGAAUGGGUGGCCACAUAAUUUCUGUCAAAGGAUAAACAGGGCUGCCUGGCUUGGAGAGGUAUUUAUGUGAGGGUUUGCAGUGUUUGCACACUGGAGAAUGGAAAGAUUUUAGCAUACAGACCCCCUGUGAGAAACAUCAGGCUGUUUUCUGAGGUAUUUCCACUGUUCACUUCCUACCCUGAUGCAAUUAUAUUGCAAACAUGAAGUUCAGCCACAAAAUAAGGUGUAAUUAGCACACUACAGCACAGCCAUCAAGUUAUACUUUACAAAUAAGUGGGAAUGACAGAAUGUGGAGGAAAAACCCUCUCUUCUUGACAAGGCAUAUUUCCUUCAGCAAGUUCCUAGCAGCCCAGUGAGGAAGGAUGGAGGCAUGGGAACCCCUAAUGCUUUGGUUUCCUCCUGCUGACCUGCAGAUCCACAAAAACAACCCUGAGCAGGUUUGCUGCUCACUCACACACAAAACUUCUGCAGAAACUGCACAGGACAAACCCAGCUUGCACUUCCCACACUUCACCCCAGGGUUUCUCCUGACAGGGAGCGUGGGAGCAGAUCAGGAGCCUGCCAGCCAGGAGACAGCUGGGACACAGCCCAGUGAUCCAUGCCAGGUGUCCUGGCCCUGACAUGCACAGCUGGGAGUAUUCCAUCCCAAAAAGGCUUUUGGCAGCACUGCCUGAAACCACAGCUCCCAAAUACCCCCAUGGCACAUUCCCCCUGAGCCUUGUUUUCCUUAUUUCCCUCCAUUGGCAUGGUCUGAGCAGUCCCCCCAGAGCUGUUCUCCUGCUCAUUUUCAGAUUCCAGCUGUGGUUCCCUGGAGGAUGCAGGGCUGAGCAGCCUGAAGAUCUGAUCCUGAGGAACUGCUGGAUAUGGAUCAUGCCCUAACCAAGAGUUGCUGUGCUGAGACACACCUCAAGCCAGAGAUCUCCUCCUUCUUCCUGCCAGCCUGGGCAUCUCUGCCUGCUCCAGAGUCAGGCAAAGUCCUGGGAACACCAGUGGCACCAGAAGCUGUGGAGGGAGUGAAUGCCUCACACCAAUACUGUGGAGCAGAGAGUGACUGUGCUGCCCUUUGGAGAAAUAAAUGACUAUACACAUUCAUUACCCGAAAAACCAGAACAGAGAGGAACUGAAAUAAAGCACAGCUCUCUGGAGAGGA